rnacentral:lncRNA from 1 species
ACAAACUAGGGUUUAAAACACUAAUAACAGCUAUUACUAAACAGAAAAUGCGUGUUGUAGCCAUCGAAUUCAUGCGAUUUAAUCGAGUAUUGAAGAUUCGAAUUCAUCAAUCGUGGGAGAAACAAACAACCUAGGGUUUGAAAUAGUAAUAACAGCUAGUAAACAGAAAAUACGUGCUGUAGCCAUCGACCGAAUUCACACUAUUGAAUCGAGUACCGAAGAUUCAAAUUCAUCAAUAGUAAAACCGAAAAACCUAGGGUUUGAAACAGAACUAACUAACUGAACACAUAGAUAGUAAUAAAAACAGUUAUUAAACAGAAAAUACGCUUAGCAGACAUCGAAUUCACGCGAUUGAAUCGUAAAUCGAAGAUUCAAAUUCAUCAAUCGUGGAAUAAAACACCAAAAUUAGGGGUUUGAAACAGAACUAAACACGGAGAUACUGAAUUACUGAUAACAACAGUCAGUAAACAGAAACUGAAUGAGAAUGAAUAACGAUAAUGAAAUCGGAAUUGAUAUAGGGUUAGUUAGACCGAUCGAACCGGAAUUGAACGGAGAGUGAACCGGUGGUGACAGACGGUGGACGCCAGCGAGGUGAAUAUGAAGCUAACUGCAGUGAUGAUUUGGCACAUCGUAGUCAGUAGGAAUGAAAACAAAAGGCCAAAUUGGGGUUCAUUAAUGGCGUGUUGAUGCUCGUUAAUGGACAUAUGGUUUUGGUCAACUAUGUUUAG